AUUGAACGCUGGCGGCAUGCCUUACACAUGCAAGUCGAACGGCAGCACGGGGGCAACCCUGGUGGCGAGUGGCGAACGGGUGAGUAAUGCAUCGGAACGUGCCCAGUAGUGGGGGAUAACCCGGCGAAAGCCGGGCUAAUACCGCAUACGACCUAUGGGUGAAAGCGGGGGACCGUAAGGCCUCGCGCUAUUGGAGCGGCCGAUGUCUGAUUAGCUAGUUGGUGAGGUAAAGGCUCACCAAGGCGACGAUCUGUAGCGGGUCUGAGAGGAUGAUCCGCCACAUUGUAACGGAGACCCGGUCCAGACUCCGACGGGAGGCAGCAGUGGGGAAUUUUGGACAAUGGGGGCAACCCUGAUCCAGCCAUGCCGCGUGAGUGAAGAAGGCCUUCGGGUUGUAAAGCUCUUUCGGCCGGGAAGAAAUCGCACGGGCUAAUACCCUGUGUGGAUGACGGUACCGGAAUAAGAAGCACCGGCUAACUACGUGCCAGCCGCCGCCGUAAGAC
rnacentral:rRNA from 1 species